GUGAGGAAUUUUCCGCAAUGGGCGAAAGUCUGACGGAGCAAUGCCGCGUGAAGGAUGAAGGCCUAUGGGUUGUAAACUUCUUUUCUCAGAAAAGAAUUAUGACGGUAUCUGAGGAAUAAGCAUCGGCUAACUCUGUGCCAGCAGCCGCGGUAAGACAGAGGAUGCAAGCGUUAUCCGGAAUGAUUGGGCGUAAAGCGUCUGUAGGUUGUUUAAAAAGUAUUCUGUCAAAGAUUAGGGCUUAACCCUAGAUAGGCAGAAUAAACUUUUAAGCUAGAGUUUGGUAGAGGCAGAGGGAAUUCCCGGUGAAGCGGUGAAAUGCGUAGAUAUCGGGAGGAACACCAAAGGCGAAGGCACUCUGCUGGGCCAAUACUAACACUGAGAGACGAAAGCGAGGGGAGCAAAUGGGAUUAGAUACCCUAGUAGUCC
rnacentral:rRNA from 1 species